rnacentral:rRNA from 1 species
UACGGAGGGUGCAAGCGUUAUCCGGAUUCACUGGGUUUAAAGGGUGCGUAGGCGGGUAAGUAAGUCCGUGGUGAAAUCUCUGAGCUUAACUCAGAAACUGCCGUGGAUACUAUUUGCCUUGAAUAUUGUGGAGGUGGGCGGAAUAUGUCAUGUAGCGGUGAAAUGCUUAGAUAUGACAUAGAACACCAAUUGCGAAGGCAGCUCACUACACAAUCAUUGACGCUGAGGCACGAAAGCGUGGGGAUCAAACAGG